GCUACGUCAAAUAAUUCCAGGAUCCAGCAAUAAAAAACCAUAGUUUAAUAUUCUACAAGACAAUGUAGGUGGCCAGGAAAUUAAUUAUGUACAUCCUAAUUGAAUCUGCUAAUUAUGUGAUCCAAAUAUCCAAGAAACACGGAAGGCAAAACCAAGCGGCAAAAUCUUGCAUUUAUAGAACAGUUAAUUGUGAAUAAGUCCACCAAUAAAUAUCCAUUCU
rnacentral:misc_RNA from 1 species